AGGGAUUAGUGGCGAACGGGUGAGUAACACGUGAGUAACCUGCCCUUGACUCUGGGAUAAGCGCUAGAAAUGGCGUCUAAUACCGGAUACGAGCUUCAGCCGCAUGGCUAGGAGUUGGAAAGAAUUUUGGUCAAGGAUGGACUCGCGGCCUAUCAGCUAGUUGGUGAGGUAAUGGCUCACCAAGGCGACGACGGGUAGCCGGCCUGAGAGGGUGACCGGCCACACUGGGACUGAGACACGGCCCAGACUCCUACGGGAGGCAGCAGUGGGGAAUAUUGCACAAUGGGCGAAAGCCUGAUGCAGCAACGCCGCGUGAGGGAUGACGGCCUUCGGGUUGUAAACCUCUUUUAGUAGGGAAGAAGCGAAAGUGACGGUACCUGCAGAAAAAGCACCGGCUAACUACGUGCCAGCAGCCGCGGUAAUACGUAGGGUGCAAGCGUUGUCCGGAAUUAUUGGGCGUAAAGAGCUCGUAGGCGGUUUGUCGCGUCUGCUGUGAAAUCUGGGGGCUCAACCCCCAGCCUGCAGUGGGUACGGGCAGACUAGAGUGCGGUAGGGGAGAUUGGAAUUCCUGGUGUAGCGGUGGAAUGCGCAGAUAUCAG
rnacentral:rRNA from 1 species